rnacentral:lncRNA from 1 species
CCAGGAACUCCUCUGCCUAGAAAGGAAAGCUAGCAGUGACCAACUAGGAGGGGGACCAGAGCGUGUGGCUGGAUUGGACGUGGCCAUGAAGGUCACAUCUGGACCGGUCUUCUGACCUCCUGACACCGGGGUCUGAGUAUCUCCUGUGAUCUCUGCCAGCAUCAACGAGGCAGGCAAGAGAAAGAGUGCUUUGUGAAGGCCCUGCAGCAAAAGAGAGGCCCAGAAGUGGAGCUUCAUGAAGAAGCUUGAUGCCAGGGCCACUGGAGUCUGAGGACCAGUGGAUGGAGAGCCACGAUAAUCCAGCUUCUGCAGAAUAUUUCAGACCUACGGGAGGAAGAGGAAAAAAGCCUGGUGAGAUCUUUCCAUGUCAGCGAUCCAGCAAAUACAAGCUUUACUCAGCAGGACAAUCCAGUAUGACCUUUCAUCUGAGAUCUUUCCUGUAUCCCCAUAGGAGAAGGGGCAGAGAGCACCUGGGUCUGGAUGUUUUUCUGAAAUGUAAAAAAUUGCUUGACAAUGGAUUGUGAACUACACAGUGUGCUGGAGUUAAAGGAAAACACCACAUUUCUCCAAUAGUCUAAAUACUUGAUAUUGAAAAUAAGUGUGUAUCAGUGUCUGAAUCUAACAUUAAACAGAGGCCUUCUAGGGAGCCUAGC